rnacentral:rRNA from 1 species
CGGACGGGUGAGUAACGCGUGAGAAUCUGCCUUCAGGUUGGGGACAACAGUUGGAAACGACUGCUAAUACCCAAUGUGCCGAGAGGUGAAAGCUUUAGUGCCUGAAGAUGAGCUCGCGUCUGAUUAGCUAGUUGGUGGGGUAAUGGCCUACCAAGGCGACACGGGUAGCUGGUCUGAGAGGAUGGCCAGCCACAUUGGGACUGAGAGACGGCCCAG